rnacentral:lncRNA from 1 species
CUAAAACCCACCAUUCUCCACCUCCCCUAGCUGUUACAAAUCCCUCUGCUCAUAGCUCCAUCUCUUUGAAAUAGAAAAGGUCUCAGGAACCAUCUGGUUCCGUGCGUCCUUAACGCUGAGGCCCCUCGCCUGCAGCUGGAGGCAGCUCUCUGCUCAGGCUGCAGUGCAGAGUGACACAGGCGAGCGACAUCGUCACUGAGCACUAACUUCUGUGACAGGAGGCAGACAGUGAAAAUCAUUUCAGAACCGCGGCACGGCGUGAGACAGGCGAAGGAGCUCAACCUCAUCAGCAUCUUUCCUUCAGGCAAACUGACAAUACAGGAUCUAGUCAAUGACUCAAGUGGAUUCAACUAUCGAAGAGAAGCUGGAGAACCAGGCUCCACCAACGAGUGGGAAUCAAGCAAGACCAAGCAGAUGAGACACAGCUAUGGUCACAGCAUGGCACAAGCCUGGUUUAGGACAUGA